AACGAACGCUGGCGGCAUGCCUAACACAUGCAAGUCGAACGAGACCUUCGGGUCUAGUUGCGCACGGGUGCGUAACGCCUGGGAACCUGCCCUUAGGUUCGGAAUAACUCCCCGAAAGGGGUGCUAAUACCGGUUAAUGUCUUCGCACCAAAGAUUUCUCGCCUUUGGAUGGGCCCGCGUUGGAUUAGCGAGUUGGUAGGGUAAAAGCCUACCAAGGCGACGAUCCAUAGCUGGUCGGUGAGGAGGAUUAGCCACACUGGGCCUGAGACACGGCCCAGACUGCUACGGAAGGGAGCAGUGGGGAAUAUUGGACGAUGGGCGAAAGCCUGAUCCAGCAAUGCCGGGUGAGUGAUGAAGGGCUUAGGGUUGUAAAGCUCUUUUACACGGGAUGAUAAUGACAGUACCGGGAGAAUAAGCACCGGCUAACUCCGUG
rnacentral:rRNA from 1 species